UAGGUGGAAGCUUGCCGGUUAAAGCUUUUAGCUGUUAACUAAACGUAUGUAGGAUCGAGGCCUACCCAUCUAG
rnacentral:tRNA from 3 species